CAGGGGGAUAACACCUGGAAACAGGUGCUAAGACCGCAUAAGCGCACAGUCUCGCAUGGGACAGUGUGAAAAACUCCGGUGGUACAAGAUGGAUCCGCGUCUGAUUAGCCAGUUGGCGGGGUAACGGCCCACCAAAGCGACGAUCAGUAGCCGGCCUGAGAGGGUGAACGGCCACAUUGGGACCGAGACACGGCCCAAACUCCUACGGGAGGCAGCAGUGGGGAAUAUUGCACAAUGGGGGAAACCCUGAUGCAGCAACGCCGCGUGAGUGAAGAAGUAAUUCGUUAUGUAAAGCUCUAUCAGCAGGGAAGAAAAUGACGGUACCUGAGUAAGCAGCCCCGGCUAACUACGUGCCAGCAGCCGCGGUAAUACGUAGGGGGCAAGCGUUAUCCGGAUUUACUGGGUGUAAAGGGAGCGUAGACGGUAAAGCAAGUCUGAAGUGAAAUGCCAGUGCUCAACACUGGAACUGCUUUGGAAACUGUUUGGCUGGAGUGCAGGAGAGGUAAGUGGAAUUCCUAGUGUAGCGGUGAAAUGCGUAGAUAUUAGGAGGAACACCAGUGGCGAAGGCGGCUUACUGGACUGUAACUGACGUUGAGGCUCGAAAGCGUGGGGAGCAAACAGGAUUAGAUACCCUGGUAGUCCACGCGGUAAACGAUGAUUACUAGGUGUCGGGGGGUUAUAACCCUUCGGUGCCGCCG
rnacentral:rRNA from 1 species